AGAGUUUGAUCCUGGCUCAGGACGAACGCUGGCGGCGCGCUUAACACAUGCAAGUCGAGCGAGAACCAGUCCUUCGGGACUGGGGACAGCGGCGAACGGGUGAGUAACACGUGGGUAAUCCGCCCUCGAUUCUGGGAUAGCCCGGGGAAACCCGGAUUAAUACCGGAUAGCCUCUCGAGCUUACGAGCUCGUGAGAAAAGGUAGCUUCGGCCUCCGAUCGAGGAUGAGCCCGCGGCGGAUUAGCUUGUUGGUGGGGUAAUGGCCCACCAAGGCCACGAUCCGUAGCUGGUCUGAGAGGACGAUCAGCCACACUGGGACUGAGACACGGCCCAGACUCCUACGGGAGGCAGCAGUGGGGAAUCUUGCGCAAUGGGCGAAAGCCUGACGCAGCGACGCCGCGUGGGGGAAGAAGGCCUUCGGGUUGUAAACCUCUUUCAGCAGGGACGAAGCCACUCGGGUGAAUAGCCCAGAGGGUGACGGUACCUGCAGAAGAAGCCCCGGCUAACUACGUGCCAACAGCCGCGGUAAUACGUAGGGGGCAAGCGUUGUCCGGAUUUAUUGGGCGUAAAGAGCGUGUAGGCGGCCAGACAGGUCCGUUGUGAAAACUAGAGGCUUAACCUCUAGACGUCGAUGGAAACCGUCUGGCUAGAGUCCGGAAGAGGAGAAUGGAAUUCCUGGUGUAGCGGUGAAAUGCGCAGAUAUCAGGAAGAACACCCGUGGCUAAGGCGGUUCUCUAGUACGGUACUGACGCUGAGACGCGAAAGCGUGGGGAGCGAACAGGAUUAGAUACCCUGGUAGUCCACGCCGUAACGAUGGGUGCUAGGUGUGGGGGUGUCGACUCCCUCCGUGCCGAAGCUAACGCAUUUAGCACCCGCUGGGGAGUACGGCCGCAGCUAAACUCAAGAUGACGG
rnacentral:rRNA from 1 species